GCUCCGUUAGCUCAGUUGGUAGAGCGACUGACUCUUAAUCAGCAGGUCGAAGGUUCGAGCCCUUCACGGAGCA
rnacentral:tRNA from 1 species